AUUGAACGCUGGCGGCAGGCUUAACACUUGCAAGUCGAGCGGAGAUGAGGUGCUUGCACCUUAUCUUAGCGGCGGACGGGUGAGUAAUGCUUAGGAAUCCGCCUAUUAGUGGGGGACAACAUUCCGAAAGGAAUGCUAAUACCGCAUACGCCCUACGGGGGAAAGAAGGGGAUCUUCGGACCUUGCGCUAAUAGAUGAGCCUAAGUCGGAUUAGCUAGUUGGUGGGGUAAAGGCCUACCAAGGCGACGAUCUGUAGCGGGUCUGAGAGGAUGAUCCGCCACACUGGGACUGAGACACGGCCCAGACUCCUACGGGAGGCAGCAGUGGGGAAUAUUGGACAAUGGGCGGAAGCCUGAUCCAGCCAUGCCGCGUGUGUGAAGAAGGCCUUUUGGUUGUAAAGCACUUUAAGCGAGGAGGAGGCUACCUGGAUUAAUACUCUAGGAUAGUGGACGUUACUCGCAGAAUAAGCACCGGCUAACUCUGUGCCAGCCGCCGCCGUAACAC
rnacentral:rRNA from 1 species